ACACCCUUUCAAGCGAUGCCACAACCUCCUUAGGCUAUCCCUGCAUUUCCUACAAUGGUGCAUCAUGCGGUUCCCUCGGUGAUGCCGCCUGUGCCUUCCGCAGUGACGCCCCCACAGAAUUCUGUUUUGUCUGUGGCCCCAUAACCACCACCUCAGCUAGAGCCGUAGGUGCCUCUUCAAAAUUUGGAGAGGAGAUUAACCCAUCAAAAUCAUCUUAGGGCCCAAUAACCGAUCAAGCGGCAAUCUCCAAGCCCACAGUCAGA
rnacentral:lncRNA from 1 species